AUGAUUCUUGUUUUCUUUUCUCCCCUGUCUCUAAGGCUCACUGAAGGGGCACUGGAAUGCAGUCAUCUGGUCUGCACAGGUUUCAGUGGUCCCUGCAUCUUACUUUCUGCUGGGAAGAAGGUUUGGCAAGACAGACCUUCAGAGGCAACAAGACAAAGCCUGUGAUAUUGCUCAACUGAAUGCCCUUAUAAACAUGCUGUUAGGGGACUCACCCCUGGUGAUCAUCAGAACAUCAUGACAAUAUGCACAAUUGAUGUACAUGCGAGGGACGUUGUAGCCACGCUUAUAGCACAGAAGGUAAUUUGUUGCAGAGCAAUUACACUAAUGCAUUUUUAAAAGCAUAAAAUAAAGACU
rnacentral:lncRNA from 1 species